rnacentral:rRNA from 1 species
UAUGACGGUACCCUUUCCAAUAAGAGGUUGCUAACUCUGUGCCAGCAGCAGCGGUAAUACAGAGACCUCGAGCGUUAUCCGGAUUUACUGGGCGUAAAAGCGUCUGUAACGGGGUUUGUUAAGUUCCAAGUACCAUCUUAAUGCUCAACUUUCAAGUUCGCUUGGAAAACUCGUAGUCUGGAGUCCAGCAGAGGUGCUAUGGAACUUGCGGGUGUAGGAGUGAAAUCCGUGGAUAUCGCAUAGGAACUCCAUAGGCGAAGGCUAGUGCACUGGGCUGGUACUGACCCUGAGUGACGAAUAGCCUGGGGAGCAAUACGGAUUAGAUACCAGUGUAGUCCACGCUGUAAACGAUGGAUAAUAGAUGUUCGGGGAUUUGACCCCCUGGGUGUCACAGCUAAAGCGUUAAGUAUCCCGCCUGGAAAGUACGGCAGAAAGGCUGAUACUCAAAGGAAUAGACGGGGAUCCGCACAAGCGGUGGAGCGUCUGGACUAAUUUGAUAGUAAGCAAUGGACCUCACCAAGGUUUGACAUCCUAUGACAACCGUGGAAACAGGGCUUCCUUCGGGUAUAGUGACAGGUAUCGCAUGAUAGUCGUCAGUUCGUGCCGUGAGAUGUUCCGUUAAGUCGGGAAACGAUCGAAACCCUCGUCGCAUGUUACAAAUUUCAUGUGAGACUGCCUGGGUCAACCGUGGAGGAAGGCGGGGAUGACGUCAGAUCUGCA